rnacentral:rRNA from 1 species
CAGCCGCCACGGGAAUACGAAGGGUGCAAGCGUUAAUCGGAAUUACUGGGCGUAAAGCGCGCGUAGGUGGUUUGUUAAGUUGGAUGUGAAAGCCCCGGGCUCAACCUGGGAACUGCAUCCAAAACUGGCAAGCUAGAGUACGGUAGAGGGUGGUGGAAUUUCCUGUGUAGCGGUGAAAUGCGUAGAUAUAGGAAGGAACACCAGUGGCGAAGGCGACCACCUGGACUGAUACUGACACUGAGGUGCGAAAGCGUGGGGAGCAAACAGGAUUAGAUACCCCUGUAGUCCCUGUCUCUUAUAA